UGGGGAAUCUUGCACAAUGGGCGAAAGCCUGAUGCAGCAACGCCGCGUGCGGGAAGACAGCCCUAGGGUUGUAAACCGCUUUCAGCAGGGAAGAAACUGACGGUACCUGCAGAAGAAGAUGCGGCCAACUACGUGCCAGCAGCCGCGGUGACACGUAGGCAUCAAGCGUUAUCCGGAUUUAUUGGGCGUAAAGAGCUCGUAGGCGGUUCGGUAAGUCGGGUGUGAAAACUCUGGGCUCAACCCAGAGAGGCCACUCGAUACUGCUGUGACUAGAGUGCGGUAGGGGAGCGGGGAAUUCCUGGUGUAGCGGUGAAAUGCGCAGAUAUCAGGAGGAACACCAGUGGCGAAGGCGCCGCUCUGGGCCGUAACUGACGCUGAGGUGCGAAAGUGUGGGGAGCAAACAGGAUUAGAUACCCUGGUAGUCCACACCGUAAACGAUGAAUGCCAGUCGUCGGGUAGCAUGCUAUUCGGUGACACACCUAACGGAUUAAGCAUUCCG
rnacentral:rRNA from 1 species